rnacentral:tRNA from 1 species
GAGAAAUUAGUUAAUAUUAUAAUAUUAAUUUGUCAAAUUAAAGUAACUAGUGUAUUUCUCA